GCGGAAGGGUGCGAUGGUCGCGGCAUGCCAGCUAGAUCGGUGCGCCGAGGAAAGUCCGAGCUCCCUAGGGCAGACUGCCAGGUAACGCCUGGGCGCCGCAAGGCGACGGAGAGGGCCACAGAAAACAAACCGCCCUGAAGAUCAAGGGUAAGGGUGAAACGGUGGGGUAAGAGCCCACCGCGCGCUUGGCAACAGGCGCGGCACGGCAACCCCCAGUCGGAGCAAGGCCAAGUAAGCAGCGAGACCCGGCCCGGGUCGUUCGAGCUGUGGGUAGGCCGCUUGAGGUGGUUGGCGACAGCCAUCCCAGAGAGAUGACCAUCUACCCGCCUCCGGUGGGUAAACAGAACUCGGCUUAUGGCCCUACCGCCCCC
rnacentral:RNase_P_RNA from 1 species